UUGCAGAUUGCAACAUGUAGCAUGCCAGGAGACUUAAGUCAGUGGGCUAUGAAGCAUUAUGACCCUGAAAUUUCCCAACUUGUCAUCCCAGAGAGGGGCAAGAUUCCAGUAGAUGCAGCAAGUGUUCACAAGAUAUGGGGUCUGCCAAACAGGGGGAGGAAGGUUUGCUAUGAGAAUAGAGCAGAUUACACAUCCAAAAUGUACAAAAUCUUCAAGAUCAAUACAAAAGGCUCACCAACACUAACAUCUUGGUGCAAAAUGAUCAAGGAUAUGGCUGGGGCAGCAGAUAACAAUUUCCUGCGUGCUUGGUUGGCGGUCGCCUUCUCCUGUUUCCUUGCUCCUACCACAAGUUUGAACAUAUCCCCACGGUGUUUUCCUGCUGUGAUGCAUGUGGAUGCGAUAACAGAGACGAAUGUAUGCCGGUUUGUAGUUGAUCAAUUAAAAUUGACAUUCGCGGGAGCAGGUGAUAAAAACGCAGUCUGCUGUUGCGUCAUGCAUUUAGUUGUAAGUCUAUCUUGCUCUUUGUCCUUUUUUCAUAGUUUUUCAUCUUCCUGUUCUUGUUGUUCAUCUACUCAUUUUUCCUUUUUGUUUUUGAUUUGCCUCAUGUAG
rnacentral:rRNA from 1 species